rnacentral:misc_RNA from 1 species
UCUCCGUAGGUGAACCUGCGGAAGGAUCAUUAAAGAGUAAGGGUCUUCGGGCCCGAUCUCCAACCCUUUGUUUAACUACCAUGUUGCUUUGGCGGGCCCGUCUCACGACCGCCGGAAGUUUGGCUUCGACCAAACUUCAGGCCCGUGCCCGUCAGUGGCCCCUUCAAAUUCUUGAUCAAGUAUGAUGUCUUAGUUAAAAACUUAAUAGUUAAAACUUUCAACAACGGAUCUCUUGGUUCUG